CACCUUCGCGAACCUAUUCUUGUCUGUAGAGAGGCACGCUCG
rnacentral:rRNA from 1 species